AACAAGGCUCUGGAAAGGGCAGCUCGUGCCCAGCUGCUCCAGACACGUUGCAAUGUGCUAGCUCCCGCCUCAAUUGAAUGAUGCGCUGAAUACAAAACUGAAGAAAACCUGAAGUUGGGUCAGAGAACAUUUGUGCACCAAACAUAGGGAGCCCAAUAUAAGGCGAAAGAAAGAAAGAAAGA